rnacentral:rRNA from 1 species
GAGCUUGCUCUCGGGUGACGAGCGGCGGACGGGUGAGUAAUGUCUGGGAAACUGCCUGAUGGAGGGGGAUAACUACUGGAAACGGUAGCUAAUACCGCAUAAUGUCGCAAGACCAAAGUGGGGGACCUUCGGGCCUCAUGCCAUCAGAUGUGCCCAGAUGGGAUUAGCUAGUAGGUGGGGUAACGGCUCACCUAGGCGACGAUCCCUAGCUGGUCUGAGAGGAUGACCAGCCACACUGGAACUGAGACACGGUCCAGACUCCUACGGGAGGCAGCAGUGGGGAAUAUUGCACAAUGGGCGCAAGCCUGAUGCAGCCAUGCCGCGUGUGUGAAGAAGGCCUUCGGGUUGUAAAGCACUUUCAGCGGGGAGGAAGGCGUUAAGGUUAAUAACCUUGGCGAUUGACGUUACCCGCAGAAGAAGCACCGGCUAACUCCGUGCCAGCAGCCGCGGUAAUACGGAGGGUGCAAGCGUUAAUCGGAAUUACUGGGCGUAAAGCGCACGCAGGCGGUCUGUCAAGUCGGAUGUGAAAUCCCCGGGCUCAACCUGGGAACUGCAUUCGAAACUGGCAGGCUAGAGUCUUGUAGAGGGGGGUAGAAUUCCAGGUGUAGCGGUGAAAUGCGUAGAGAUCUGGAGGAAUACCGGUGGCGAAGGCGGCCCCCUGGACAAAGACUGACGCUCAGGUGYGAAAGCGUGGGGAGCAAACAGGAUUAGAUACCCUGGUAGUCCACGCCGUAAACGAUGUCGAUUUGGAGGUUGUGCCCUUGAGGCGUGGCUUCCGGAGCUAACGCGUUAAAUCGACCGCCUGGGGAGUACGGCCGCAAGGUUAAAACUCAAAUGAAUUGACGGGGGCCCGCACAAGCGGUGGAGCAUGUGGUUUAAUUCGAUGCAACGCGAAGAACCUUACCUGGUCUUGACAUCCACAGAACUUUCCAGAGAUGGAUUGGUGCCUUCGGGAACUGUGAGACAGGUGCUGCAUGGCUGUCGUCAGCUCGUGUUGUGAAAUGUUGGGUUAAGUCCCGCAACGAGCGCAACCCUUAUCCUUUGUUGCCAGCGGUCCGGCCGGGAACUCAAAGGAGACUGCCAGUGAUAAACUGGAGGAAGGUGGGGAUGACGUCAAGUCAUCAUGGCCCUUACGACCAGGGCUACACACGUGCUACAAUGGCAUAUACAAAGAGAAGCGACCUCGCGAGAGCAAGCGGACCUCAUAAAGUAUGUCGUAGUCCGGAUUGGAGUCUGCAACUCGACUCCAUGAAGUCGGAAUCGCUAGUAAUCGUAGAUCAGAAUGCUACGGUGAAUACGUUCCCGGGCCUUGUACACACCGCCCGUCACACCAUGGGAGUGGGUUGCAAAAGAAGUAGGUA